UACAGAGGUCCCAAGCGUUGUUCGGAUUUACUGGGCGUAAAGGGUGCGUAGGCGGUCGGGUAAGUCUGGUGUGAAAUCUUCGAGCUUAACUCGGAAACUGCAUUGGAUACUAUUCGGCUAGAGAGUUGGAGGGGGGAUUGGAAUACUUGGUGUAGCAGUGAGAUGCGUAGAUAUCAAGUGGAACACCAGUGGCGAAGGCGAAUCCCUGGACAACUUCUGACGCUGAGGCACGAAAGCUAGGGGAGCAAACAGG
rnacentral:rRNA from 1 species